UCUGGUAAUGAUGGCAGAGAGGUCACACCCGUUCCCAUACCGAACACGGAAGUUAAGCUCUCUAGCGCCGAUGGUAGUUGGGACCU
rnacentral:rRNA from 1 species